rnacentral:rRNA from 1 species
CAGUAGCCGCGGGAAUACGUAGGUGGCAAGCGUUGUCCGGAAUUAUUGGGCGUAAAGGGCUCGCAGGCGGUUUCUUAAGUCUGAUGUGAAAGCCCCCGGCUCAACCGGGGAGGGUCAUUGGAAACUGGGUAACUUGAGUGCAGAAGAGGAGAGUGGAAUUCCACGUGUAGCGGUGAAAUGCGUAGAGAUGUGGAGGAACACCAGUGGCGAAGGCGACUCUCUGGUCUGUAACUGACGCUGAGAAGCGAAAGCGUGGGGAGCGAACAGGAUUAGAUACCCCCGUAGUCCCUGUCUCUUAUAC